AGUUGAAUCCGAGUCGUCGUGGAAAACGGUUCUGAGUGUUCCGAGCACAAAAGCCAAACCCCUUUCUGACAACCAAGGUGACAGCGAAGUUUCGCAAACAUCAACAACAACACACCGUGUGACUUGGUCGUUUAUUAUCAACCCCCAUUCCGGUGAUCGUUCGAGGAAAAAUCUUCCCCCUUUACUACGCGAAAAUCACCCGCACGCGCGUCUGUGUGUGUGUGUUGCGUAGCUUUUUCCCGGUCGGUGGCAUUUGUGGUGCGGCGUUUUUUGUAACCCCGUAAAGUGUCUCCCUGUGUGUGUUAAUGCAUAUACAGUGAGUACGAAAAUUGCAUCAGUGUGUGUGUGUGUGCGUAACGCGUCGCCAGUGCAAAAGUAAGAUCCGUCGUUCGUGGUAAGAGAAAGAGAGAAAGAGAAGAAAAAACAUCGCAAGCGAAGAAACGAACCCAUCGGCAUCGAUACGCAAACACCGCAUCACGGUGCACUGAGCGAGAGAGCGAUAGCGAAAGAACGAGAGCAAACAGUUCUCGUUGCGUGUGCGCGCACCUCCUACCCCGUAUCUGUGUGUUCGCGAGAAGGCGAGAGAGAGAGAGCGCAGCUGAGCGGCCGCAAUAAGGGCAGAGAGCGUGCGAGAGCGAUAACGUGCGCGCGCGCCUGUGUGUGUGUGUGUCCCGCAGUUCGACAGUGAAGCAGCACCGGACCCGUCAGUCCACUCUGAGCAGGCAGCGGAAGCAGCAGCAGCAGCAGCAGCAGUAAAUCGUAAGCCGCAGUAGUUAGCAGUUGUCGCCCGAGAGUGUUCGCAGAGCCCAGCAGAGCGUCACCCGAGAAAGCAGCAGCAGCAGCAGCCAGUGUGCAAAAAGCAGCGAAACCACACACUACCACACCACCACUCCAAGCACCAAACACUCUUAGCAGCAAAAGAUGGCCGAUCAACUUACGGAAGAACAGAUCGCUGAAUUCAAAGAAGCGUUCUCGCUGUUCGACAAGGACGGCGAUGGCACAAUCACCACCAAGGAAUUAGGCACCGUGAUGCGAUCGCUAGGCCAGAACCCCACAGAAGCUGAAUUGCAAGACAUGAUCAACGAAGUCGACGCGGACGGUAACGGCACGAUCGAUUUCCCCGAGUUUCUAACAAUGAUGGCUCGUAAAAUGAAGGACACGGACAGUGAAGAGGAAAUCCGGGAGGCAUUCCGAGUCUUCGACAAGGACGGCAACGGUUUUAUCUCUGCAGCUGAGCUGCGCCACGUCAUGACUAAUCUGGGCGAGAAGCUAACAGACGAGGAGGUCGACGAGAUGAUCCGUGAAGCCGAUAUAGAUGGCGAUGGCCAGGUUAAUUAUGAAGAAUUCGUAACAAUGAUGACAUCGAAGUGAGCUACAGGUCGAUACAUUGCGCCUUUCUAUUUGUUUAUUAAGAAGACUGUAGCCACGCGCAACAACAGCUGCGCAACGCUAUCGAUUUGGAUUUAAAAAAAGAGCGAGAAGCGGAAGAGGUGGAGAAAUGCAGCGUGGGAUUUAAUGGAGUGGAGGAGACAAGAGCGAGAGGAGGAUGAUGAUGAUGAUGAUGAAAAGAAAGGAAGUGGAAAAGAGCUACAUACAACAACAAAAACGCAACGUAAAAGAGCAAGAAACCAUACAGAAAAGAGUAAAGCUAACGAGAGAUAAACAUUAAAUAAGAAAACUCUUAAGCAUAACACAGAAGUAAGCAGUAUACAACAACAAACAUGAUGGAAACAAAUUGAAAACACUACCUAAGCAUAGCAAAUCAACAAACAGCUUUUUGAUAACAUCUCCAACCGAUAUGAAAGAUAGCAUCAAAAAGCGCUGCCCGAAAAUAACAUCAGCAAGCAAAAUAAUAGCAAAACAGCAGCUAUAAUAUUUUAACAACUUUCAACAGCAGUAACAACAGCAGCAGCAAAAAUAAACAACAACAACAACAGCAACAGCCAUAAUAAUAUUUAAAAACAAAGCUUCUUCAUCACCACCACCACCACCCACCCACUACCAUCACAUUGAGACACAACAACACAACAACUCUCUCUUCCCACGCAGACGAAAGAAAGAGAAACAAGUGUUUGCGUGUGUCUCUCAGCAAAGCAUUUGCGUGUGUUCCUAUGACACCACGAGCACGAAUUUGUUCAACAGCCCAACACCAAAGGAAAGCGUUCAGCUAACAGCAGCAGCAGCAAACUCAGCGGCGGCGGCGGCAUCAGCAGCAGCAGCAGCGCAAACAGCUAAAGCGGCGGCGGCGGCUUCAGCAGCAGCAGCAGCAGCAGUAGCAGCAGCGCAGAUAGCAGCUUAUCCUUUUAUCCUAGUAUGAUGGCCGAAUUGGAUUGAUUGAUAUAGUUGUAUCUCUCUUUGUCGUCAUUUAGUGGCUUAUUGACAGUGUGUAUGUGUGGUGCGUAAGACGAUUGCUAUCGAAGCAGCAACAGAGUAGUAGCCUCAAUCCGAUUUAGGGGUAGUUAAAUGCUUGCACUUAAAGAGGGACCUAAGACGAACAGAAUCAGAAGAAUGAACCGGUGGCUGCGUGUGUGUGUGUGUGUGAAGAAGAAGCAGCUGUGUUGUAUCCUUCGGACAAAAAAAAACAAAACACAUCGACUACGAUUUGCAAAUCCAUCUCACGUUUAUGAAACGUUCUUACGCUGUAGAAAAAGAAAGCAAGUAACCAACCCACACACGCAUACACACACCGUAUAUGAUAGUCUCACUCGGGUUUUAGUAGCAGAGGGAGUGUCGAGGAAGUGUAUGGUGUCCAAGAUGUCAGUUAACACCGGUUUAAUCAAUGUUUAACAUGAAAACGUUUGUCAGCAAAUUGUCAGUUACAAAACAAAAAUCCACCUUAGAAUGCAAUGCGAAGCGAAUAUUGCAAAACACAGCACCGCAUAUAGUGUAUGGGAAUGAAUGGUAUAAGUGCGUAGUUAAAAACACACACAACAAAGCAUAAGAAGAAAGAGAAGAGAAAAGAAACACAAAAGAUAGUAUAAAAAUGCAGUAAGUAACUCAUUAUUGAUAAAAAUAAGAGCUUUUCAACUAAAGAACUACUACUACUACCAAGCUAGUAAGAGAAGAGAGAACGUAUUUAAAAGAAGAAAAAACACACACAAACAAACAAUACAAUCACACACAAACACACACACUCACAGACUUUCGAGCACACAACAAAACCGUUUAAACAAUUCCAAAACAAAGUUAGGAAUCAACGAACACACUUAGCUCUACUACACACGAUACAAAAAAACUCCCAAAAAGAAAGACAUUUUCUUCCUUUCUUUCUUUCGUCGUCGUUGUCGUCGUCGUUGUCGCGUUUGUUAGUUGAGAGGUAAACAGCGAAAAAAACAAAGUUAAAUAAAAAAAAAAACAAACAAAAAUCCAAGCAAAACCCACUACGAGCAUAAAAAAAGGAUAAAACCUAAUAACAAACCCAAAAAAAAAACUACAAAACAACAGAUAACAGAAAGAAAACAGCUAAUUACAACAAUUUUCUCGCACACAAACAAAUACAAACAUAGGCAAACACAUACACACACACACAUACAUACGCAUACAAAAGAGAAGAAGGAAAAUAUAUGAUAAGAGCAGAAGCAAGCAAAGGCAAGCAGCAGUCGCAGCAACAGCAGCAGCAGCAGCAGCAUUUUGAAAAUGGUUGGCGCAUUAAUGCACAUAUACAAUUAAAAAAGCACGGAACAAGUGAAAACAACAACAACAAAAUUAAGAAAAACAGAAGGUGUUGUAAUGCAAAGGUAACAAAGAGGAAAACAAAGCAUAAGAAGAAAAGUAAGUUGCAAACAGGUACACUAGUAGAUUAAAAAAACACAAAACUGGAAACAAACAGAACAUAGAAAGCGUCAAAAGAAGAGAGGGAAAGCAGAAAAGAACGAAGAUAUAUUAAUACAGUAUAGAUAUCUAUAUAUACACACACACAGAGUAAGAGACAGGAAGAAACGUACAUACACAGAUUUGACACAAAAAUCCCCACCAUCGCCUACUACACCACCACCACCACAUUGUUGCGUGCGAUCGCCCGCGUGUGUGUGUGUGUGCGUUUGUGUAUGUGCGUAUGCAUUAGUUGAUGUGCGUGAGUGUUUGCAGCGCGCGCAACACCUCCCGCGUACGCGUAGCAGAGUGUUGUGGGUUGCGCUUUAACGUGCGCGCUGCGUAAAUGGAGGCGCACGGGCGCCCACGUGGCACGGAAGAGAUUCGUUUGGAAGAAGGGUUUGUAGGCCAGAGGAGGAGAAGGAGGAUAGGGUUUGUUGCGUGUUUUGGGAAGCCCGUUGGAUAUGGGAAUUGCAUUUGAAAUAUAGAGAGAGAGAGAGCGAGGAUACUGAUGUGUGUUGGUCGUUUGAAGGCAAGGCAGAGAUGAAGGCAAACAAAUAUAAUAAUUAAUAAACAGCUGAAGAGCACUCUCUACUACCUA